AUCAGGUGUUACCUCAGCACUAGGCUCAUGUGUGUGCUUCCAAGAAGAGUCGAAUUGAAUCAAAAUCUUGGCGAGGUUUAGUGCAUUCUUGUGGCUCUUUUUCACCUCUCUAAUUUCUUCUACCAUGGGUAUUAUCCAGCACCCUUCAUACCAAAAUACAACACAAUGAAUUAUUCAUUACAACAAAGAUAUAAAACCUUAUAUUAUUUAUAUAUUGAUGAAUAUGUAAGCUUACCGAUGCCUAGAAUGAAUGUAACGAUUUUCUCAACUACACUCACUGCUUCAAUAGUACCUUGAUCAUCAACCACUACAAAAUUAUACAGUGUUAGAGACUGAUGCUAUAAGCAUCUCAAAAUUGAGACACUUGAAAUACACCUAUAUUUGACUUACAGUACAUUGAUGAAAGAACUAAUGUACAUGUUCUUAUAUAAUCAACAAAAAUUAUGAGUUCACAUUUUUUUGUGUAACCAAUUAAUCCGUUUUAAAAGAAAGCUAGAGGAUCGUUGUUUACAACAUGAGUAGAAGAGGGAAUAUUGUAAUUAUCUUAAUCCGUUACUCGUACUAACUAAUACAUUAUCAAUGUUCUGAAAGUAUCAAAUAUGAAGCCUAAGCCAUACAUAAAUAAAUAAAUAAAAGCUUGCAAUAAAAUACAUACAUGAGUAAACAAGUUCCUUUAUGAGCCCAAAUUCUGUUCCACUUUUGAAUGCUGCUGGAGUACAUGCAAGUAUUUGCAGAGCAGUCCUCUUAUUUUGAGCUCGUAUACCACAAAGAUAGGGAUAUUUCUUUGCUAUCAUAAGCGCCAUAUCUGUACGUUCCAAGCUUAUAAGUCUCUUAGUAGUUUCUUAAUACUUCUUUAAAAUAUACUUGCACGCGUAUAUAAUAAUAAUAAUUUAAACAUAGUAAGUACAUUGUUUAGCAAUUACAACAAAAACUAAUCAAAAGUAUGUGAGAGAUGGUUUUGAACUUACUAAAAUUUCUUGUAAGGAUAGCCAUAUGAAGAAUGGUAGUGCAGUCAUCUCUCUGAAAGAAGUAGAGGUGGUCAAACUCUUUGUGUAACUCACAGAAUUUAUUCACCUCCUCUGCAAGAAACUCAAAGGUUAUCCUCCUUCCAUAACGAGUAGCCCUGAACACAGAAGACUCGCCUAAUUUGUUACGCGCCUGCAGCAAUUCAGGUACUUUCUGCACCAGCUUUUUCACGAGUUCAAUUCCUUUAUUCGAGGUCGAUGCGUCGUGUAGUAUGGUGUCUCCCCAAGCAUUCAGUCUCUCAGGUCCAAUAAACAAAGACCGAAGCCCAACUACAUGUAUCAAGCCCAAAUCUAUAAAGGCCCAUAAAUGAGAGUCAAAGAUAACCCAAGAAGGAUGACUAGGCCCAGAAAUUCGGAGCCAACCACGAAGACAAAGUCAGAGGAAGGAACAAUGGAUGACGUAGUCAUAACUGCCCUCUAGCUGGAAUUGCUUACCCACCAUGGCAGUUGUAGAGAGAUAACUCACAUCUCUCCACAACUUCCCUCUAACCGGCGAAGAAGAAGGAAGUAUAAACAGCGAGCAGCAGCCAAAGAAUUGAACAAAGGACAACAGACAAACAAACUCAAAACAUUUCUAGUUUUUCUUUAGCUUUAGCGCGUUUUGUGCCCUAGGCUUAGAAGCCUAACAGUAGUAUAACACAGUCCAUAGAUUUUCCAUGUAUUGAAGAACUUCGGUUUCUAACGUCAGUGUAUUUUUCCAAGCAUUCGACCAUCAAGGUAACAUUCUCAUGAUUAAAUGUUUGUCUAGUUUUAUUUUCAUAUCAAUCAAUAAUACUUUAAUUUUAAUCUUUAA